rnacentral:rRNA from 1 species
GUCUUCGGAUCGUAAACCUCUGUUGUGAAGGAAGAAUAACUUAGAUAGUAAAUGAUCUAUGUUUGACGGUACUUUACCAGAAAGUCACGGCUAACUAUGUGCCAGCAGCCGCGGUAAUACAUAGGUGGCAAGCGUUAUCCGGAUUUAUUGGGCGUAAAGAGUGCACAGGUGGUUUAUCAAGUCAGUUGUUAAAUACCAAGGCUCAACCUUGGCUCGCAAUUGAAACUGAUAGACUAGAAUAUCGGUGGGGGUAGUAGAAUUCCAUGUGUAGUGGUGGAAUACAUAAAUAUAUGGAGGAAUACCAGUGGCGAAGGCGGCUACCUGAACGAUUAUUGACACUUAAGCACGAAAGCGUGGGGAGCAAAUAGGAUUAGAUACCCUAGUAGUCCACGCCGUAAACGAUCUAGACUAGACGUUGGGAUAACCCAGUGUCACAGCUAACGCAUUAAGUCUAGCGCCUGGGUAGUAUGCACGCAAGUGUGAAACUCAAAGGAAUUGACGGGGACCAGCACAAGUGGUGGAGCAUGUGGUUUAAUUCGAAGAUACGCGAAGAACCUUACCUACACUUGAAAUGCUUGGCAAAGCUAUAGAGAUAUAGCGGAGGUCAACCAGUGCACAGGUGGUGCAUGGUUGUCGUCAGCUCGUGUCGUGAGAUGUUCGGUUAAGUCCGGCAACGAGCGCAACCCCUAUCUUAUGUUACUAACAUUUAGUUGAGGACUCAUGAGAGACUGCCUAGGUAACUAGGAGGAAGGUGGGGAUGACGUCAAAUCAUCAUGCCCCUUAUGUGUA